AUACGGAGGAUGCGAGCGUUAUCCGGAUUUAUUGGGUUUAAAGGGUGCGUAGGCGGACAAAUAAGUCAGUGGUGAAAUCACUCAGCUUAACUGAGUAACCGCCAUUGAUACUGUUAGUCUAGAAUGUAAAUGGAGUAGGCGGAAUGAAUCAUGUAGAGGUGACAUUCAUAGAUAUGAUUCAGAACACCGAUCGCGAAGGCAGCUUGCUAAGAUACAAUUGACGCUGAGGCACGAAAGCGUGGGUAGCAAACAGGAUUAGAUACCCUGGUAGUCCACGCUGUAAACGAUGACAACUCGUUGUCGGCGAUACACAGUCGGUGACUGAGCGAAAGCGAUAAGUUAUCCACCCGGGGAGUACGAUCGCAAGGUUGAAACUCAAAUGAAUUGACGGGG
rnacentral:rRNA from 1 species